rnacentral:lncRNA from 1 species
GUUUGCUCCACUUGAGGAUACAGAGCACCCCGGCAGCAGUGAGUGAGUUCUUGUGAGAUCUGGUUGCUUAAAAGUGUGUGGCACCCCCUCAACUCUGCUGCUUCUGCUUUCAUCAUGUGAAGUGCCUGCUCCCCCUUUGCCUUCUGACAUGUUUGUAAGUUUCCUGAGGCCUUUCCAGGAGCCAAGCAGAUGCCAGCAUCAUGCUUCCUGUACAGCCUGAAGAACCGAGGAGAAGCAGCCAGAGCCUGAGGGGAAACCUGCCUCCAUUCUCCUCUCCAACUCUUUGUUUCUCAUCCUGGUGGAGUCAGAGAGGUUCCCAAGUGGAAGCUGCACCCGGCAUCUCAUCAGUGAGGGCCCCAGUUAGCAGGAACAUCAAAGGUAGAAAUGCUGGAACCUGAAAAAAAGAAUGCUCUGUCCAGCUUGAAAGAAGCAUUCUACUGAAGUGUGGUGAUAAGAUCCGGAUUAGAAUCAGCAUUGAUGGAUCAUAGAAGGAUUAAAGUGACAGGGUCCCAAAUCUUCACAAAACGUUUGCAGAUUUGUUUGUUUGGGUUUUUUCCAAGGACUUUAUCUUCCUUGCUUUAAUGUUUAUCCUUGGCUGUCUUAAUAAGGAGUGGUAUGGAAAACCCUUGUGAUGCCUCCUCCAAGUGAAC